GUCCAGCUGCUGGUGCUCCUGCUGCCGCUGCUGCUGGCGCUAGUUCUAAUGCUGCUGCUGCCGCAGCUCCUGCUGCUGGUC
rnacentral:sRNA from 1 species